rnacentral:rRNA from 1 species
UACGGGGGGGGGCAAGCGUUGUUCGGAAUUACUGGGCGUAAAGGGCUCGUAGGCGGCCAACUAAGUCAGACGUGAAAUCCCUCGGCUCAACCGAGGAACUGCGUCUGAUACUGGAAGGCUUGAAUCCGGGAGAGGGAUGUGGAAUUCCAGGUGUAGCGGUGAAAUGCGUAGAUAUCUGGAGGAACACCGGUGGCGAAGGCGGCAUCCUGGACCGGUAUUGACGCUGAGGCGCGAAAGCUAGGGGAGCAAACGGG